GACGAACGCUGGCGGCGUGCCUAAUACAUGCAAGUCGAGCGAAUCAAUAGGAGCUUGCUCCUGUUGGUUAGCGGCGGACGGGUGAGUAACACGUGGGCAACCUGCCUGUAAGACUGGGAUAACACCGGGAAACCGGUGCUAAUACCGGAUAAUCCUUUUCCUCUCAUGAGGGAAAGCUGAAAGUCGGCUUCGGCUGACACUUACAGAUGGGCCCGCGGCGCAUUAGCUAGUUGGUGAGGUAACGGCUCACCAAGGCGACGAUGCGUAGCAGACCGGAGAGGGUGAUCGGCCACACUGGGACUGAGACACGGCUCAGACUCCUACGGGAGGCAGCAGUAGGGAAUCUUCCACAAUGGACGAAAGUCUGAUGGAGCAUCGCCGAGUGAGCGAUGAAGGCCUUCGGGUCGUAAAGCUCUGUUGUUAGGGAAGAACAAGUACCGGAGUAACUGCCGGUGCCUUGACGGUACCUAACCAGAAAGCCACGGCUAACUACGUGCCCGCAGCCGCCGCGGUAA
rnacentral:rRNA from 1 species